AUGGGAUCAUAGCCUCAGGUUCGUAAUCUUCUAUGGGCGUGGUGCCUUUAAGGGCUUCUUUAUUUACAGGAAAUUUAUUAAAUACGACAGCACUUUGAGGGAUUUAUUUGAAUCUUCAUAGGAGGGACACUGUGGGUUCUGCCAAUAUUAGUUGGGGAUUUUGCUCAGAAAGAGGAUGGCAGGUGAUCCAGCCGAGACAAAUGAUUAGUGUCCCCAGAUGCCACUCUAGUGCGUCAGAGAUGAAGUAGAUAAAAGAUGUCCAAAGGGCAUUUCGUCCCCUGGUUAGGUAUUUUGAGUAUCUUCAUCCAGUUCUAGAAUUACUUUCCCUUUGUGGGAAAAUGAAAUUCCAGCGUGAUCCCUUCUGAGGAUCCGUGCAGUGAAUGACUAGAGGUGGAAGAACUAACGUGAAAAUGGUGUGUCUGUCACACGGAACUAGACACAAGAGGGCGGGUUCAGAGGCAGGAACCUGUGCAGGUUCAUUAGAGACCCCACUGUUGGAGCCCUGUGAGCUCUCAGCGGCGAGACCUGCUUCACAGUGUAGGUCCCGUCAGGCGGCACAGAGAGAGUCUCUUCCCAUCUGGAGAGUGGUUUCUCCAAGCUGAUCAAGAGGGAAUUUGGGGCAGAGCCCCUGUGGUCCUUAGAGCCCAGCUGUUGGGCAUGAGGAGGGCUUGGGAGGGGCCGGGAGGAGGGCUCCCACCUGGAGCAUUCAGGCUGCUGAUAACCUUCCCUCACAUGUCCUGGAUGUUGGCAAUAAUAGUGCAAACUAGGAGGUAUUUGGUGGUUUUUUUUUUAAUGUUUGUUUAUUUUUAGAGACACAAAGUGUGAGUGGGGGAGGGGCAGAGAGAGAGGGAGAUACAGAACCCGAAGCAGGCUCCAGGCUCUGAGCUGUCAGCACAGAGCCCACCAUGGGGCUCAAACCAGCGAACUGUGAGAUCAUGACGUGAGCUGAAGUCGGAUGCUCAACCAACUGAGCCACCCAGGCGCUCCUUAUAGAAGCCUUCAGUUGUUCGUGGUGCAAAUUAAGAAUUUUAGCUGUCUUUCCUUCAUGUGGGCUGUGAGUGGCCUAGUUUAUCAAAAUAAUUAAAUAUGCAGGGGAUGAGAUUUCCCAGCCCAUCCUGGUCCUUUUAACGAAAAAGAAAGAUUCCAGUCCAUCCCAUUAAAUGCUGCCUGAUGGAUUCCACAUGUGAAGAAAGACCAGAAGUUACACUGAAGAUAGGCUGAAGUCCAUUGUAAUAGCUAUGUACAGGUUCAUCAGGCUUGUGUGUGGAAACCUGGAUUUUGUUUUAAUUCACAGUCCUAGGAAAAGCUACUGUAAUUGCUCGGUGGGAAUUUUCAGACGUUUGGCAUCUUUUCAGAAGUUGGGCCUCUCUCUCUCUCCCUCUCUUGGGUUAGUUUCAUCCCAUGUGUGGCCUGGGCCUCAGCAACAUGCAUGUGGACUAGUUGAUCUAAAUCUGGGAAACCAUGUUGGUAAGUUGAAUAGCCAUGUCAUGUUCUUCAGCGAGCUUAUGGGGGGUCCUGGGCACUUUUGGAAACUUCUGCCUUAGUCCAGGGAACAUGAGAAAUGUGGGUUUUAGAUCUUGAGAAGCCUUCCCUUUAAAGAGGCCUGGUUAACAGGCUGAGGUAAGGAGCGAUCAUGGGCAGGUUCAGAAGAAAAGGGGAAGUUCAGAGCUUGUUGAGGAAAGUGAUUGGAGGCAGGUCCCAGGUGUAGAGUAGCCGCCGGAUGUCUGCAGACAGGGAAGCCUGGGUGGGAGAAAAAGACACUUCGGAAGCCAUUUGUCGUUAUUUCAGUUGUUUGCCCCGUUCAUUUGAAAUAGUCUUUUGCAAAGAGGUACACUUAGAGCCUGAAAAUAUUUGCAAGUCUUGAGGUACCGAAUAAAAUAUGUAUCAAAUUCAGUUUGCUGGAUUCAUGACUUCCUGAUUUCUUUUUUUUUCUUUUCUAUUCUUUUCUCUCAUUCUUUCUUUUCUUCUUUCCUUCCUUCCUUCUUAAUUUUUAAAUUUUUUUUCUAACAGUAUUGAAUAAAACAUGUUUGGGGAGAUUGAAAGUUCCCCAUAAAGGCCCUUGUAGUUCUAAAUUAUAUUUGGUUCAGUUGCUCAUUUUGUUAGAAAUGCACGAGGAUGCACCAUGGUUUUUAAACAUAAGAUUGGCCAGGGUUCCAUUUGAGGGCCCCCUCCAUGCGCUUUGAUAACUGGAAUCCAUUUCUUGGUAGUUUUCUCUAGACCAGAAUAAAAAUUUAUGAACACUAGUCUCUAUAGAAGUAGCCUUGUUCCAGAAGAAAUCAGACCAAGGGCCAAUGCAUUUCCAACAGGCACGAUUCCAAGAGGAACAGUCCAGUUUUGGAAAGUAGUCGGAACAAAAAUGAGUUCUCUGAGAAAGGACAAGCCCAUAACACAGGUUCUGAAUAAACCCUGGAGAGUGCACACACAGGAGAGCGCAGACCCAGGGAGCGGGGCUCUCAGCACAAAACAACCUCCACUUCAGGGUCCCCAAGAAUGCAGAGAGAGCAGUGGGCUCCGUGGGUACCUGCACCUGUUUGCUCGCCAGCCUGGAGUGGUUGGGGUCUCCUCUGGGCCCCCUGGUGAUCACCAAGUAACGUUAACUUAAAAAUGAAACCGGCAGUUAUUUUUCCAGGAAAAAAAUGAGAAUAGCAGAGAAUUGGGAUUUGGGACAGGUAAGCCCCAGCAAUACCACAGGCAAGUCUGGAGAAGAAAGGGAGGAACGCUUUUUCCUAGAGGAGAGGGGACAUUGGGAGGGGCUGUGCCAAACCAGAAAGCCAUUGGAGCAAACUGGGUGUUCCACGUGUAGUGGCUUCUCAUUGGCUGAACUGUGGCUCUCUUUCAUUGGCCGAGGCAUGACUGUCUCUCAUUGGCUGGGCUGCGACCAUCCCUCAUUGGCUGGGUUGUGACUGUCUCUCAUUGGCUGGGCUGUGGCUCUCACUGGCUGAGCUCUGGCUCCCUCGCAUGGGCUGGACUGUGACUGGCUCUCAUUGGCUGGCCUAUGAUUGUCUCUCAUUGGCUGAGCUGUUGCCACCGGAAAUAGUCUUUCCUCCUGCAUGAACAGUGAUGCAUUAUGGGUGUGCAGGUGCGUCUCUCCGUGUUGUGUCUGCUCUUGGCCCUGAGCGGCAGGUUGGGGAGCUUCCCCUGUGGACUCCCGACUCCACUUCAGUCGUGUCGCCUUUACUCAGCCUGGAAGAGGUGCCCGGCUUCUGGGUGGUUUUCAUCCCGGGCGAUCGGGAGUCGUGCCGCGGAGAGCGCGUGCGCACACUUGUGUGUGAUGGCGCUCGUCCUCCCGGGUCUGGGGCAGGUGGAUACGAGGAGCGGACCUGCCGUGUUGGGUGGGAACUCCACGUUGCUCAUGUUGGGGGUCCACCAGACUCUUCCAAAGCGGCCGCCCCCGCUUACAUCGGCAGCAGGAUAAAUGAAGGAGAAUGCGCCCUGCUCACGUCCUCGCCGGCGCUUCCUGGGGCGUCUUUAUAGCCAGUGUGGUGGGUGCGAAGGGGCCUCUGCUGGUAGUUCGAGGUGCGUGUCCCGCGUGACGAAUGUCCAGCAUCUUUUCAUCGACCCACUGGCCAUUUGCAUAUGUUCUUUGGAGAAGUGUCUGGGUGCGCAAAUGUUAGGUGUGGACUUUUCCCCGCCGCCCCUUUUCGGGAUGAAGAAGUUCCUUUCUGUUCCUAGUUGGCUGAGUAUUUUUGUCAAGAGAGGGUGGUGGGUUCAAGGAGAUACCUUUUCUGUGUGUAAGUGAUCAUGGGGUUUUUGUUUCUCUUCUGUUCAUGAAGUUUAUGACUGCUAUUUUGCUUGGUGAGCCAACCAUUUUAUUCCCAGAUAAAUCUCCCUUGGUCACAUUGUAGAAUCCAUUUUAUUACUAUUUUUAAAUUUUUUUAAAACAUUCAUUUUUUGAGAGUGAGAGAGACAGCAUGAUCGGGGGAGGCAGAGAGAGAGGGGAGAGAGAGGGAGACACAGAAUCAGAAGCAGGCUCCAGGCUCGGAGCUGUCAGCACGGGGCCUGACGCAGGGCUGGAACUCACAGACUUGAGAGAUCAUGACCUGAGCCGAAGUCAGACAUUCAACCAACUGAGCCACCCAGGCGCCCCUGUAGAAUCCAUUUCAUAUAGGAUUAAUUUUGGUGUCAGGAUAAACUGGCCACAUGGGGGUAGAUUGGAAGUGUUUGUGCAUGGUUGCAUUUUGCAUAUGGAUCCCUGAUGUGUGGUGACGUUGAGCUCAUUUCAUGUGCUUUUUGGCCACUUCUGUAUCUUCCUAGGGAAAUGUGCAUUCACAUUUUUUUGUCCCAUUAUUUAGUUGUAUUAUUUGUCUUUAUAAUGUAACCUAUAAUAUAAUCUUUUUUAUUGUUGUUAUACAAGUUUUGAAAAACCUGUGUAGGUUACAAGCCUCGUAUCAGAUGUGACUAGCAAACCCACGCUGCAGCCCCAGAUGAAAUGGUGUUGCCUUCAUUGUAGCUGAUGUAGCUGGGAUUCUGUGUGCUUAGGUUGUGGAAACAUGUCUUUUAUUUAAGUAAUUCCUGAUUAUUUUCUCAUAAUUGUUUGCUUUUUCCUUCAGUGAUGUGGUGUCCUCAUAUUGCUCCAAAGAUACUAUGUGUAGGGUGUUCAGAUUGGUUGGGGAGGGAGGGUGGGCAGCAUAGGCUGUGAAAGAAUUCACCCACAGCAAAAUUUACCCAACAAAGGAGUUAGAAGUCUAUUGAAUGCACUGUAGGGGAGCUGCAGGCCACCAGGUGGUGGUGACGAGCUAUGGUCAUAGGGCAGAGUGAAGGAGUGUAGGGACACAUGGAAAUUCGCCCUUUUUGUGGUAACUGUGCCCGGUUGUAAGUAGACCAUUGGAGAGUUGGGGCCUGUGGCUAUCUAGAGGCGGGUCACUUCAUGAGCCUGUUUUUUAUCCAUCUGUGUGGUCACUGUGGGCCCUUUUGCCUAACUCAGGUUUCCAUUGGUGAAGCCUGUUGUCUAAAUGUGGCCCUGACAUCCCCCUGACAGGUGGAAAAUGACAAAUCUUAGGCGUUAGGACAGGGGUGUCACCUUCAGUAGCUUCUUCCUGCUGAAUGAGGGCAUAGAGAUGUCCCUGGUAUGUCAACAUUCAGCAGGAAAAUAAGCCUGAAGAAAAGACCUUUGAUAGUUGACCACGAUCUUCCUCCAGUCCAGGAGUUUCGCCAGUUAUUAAAGGAGAGGGAAGGAUCCUUUCAAGCACCGACAUGAGGAUUUGUAUCUGUCAGCGCUCCUGUUAUGUUAUUGGGGUAAUCUGGAGCGCAUACAUGGCACUCUGUUUUAAUGAAAGCAUAGGUUCCUUUUUGAGCUGCUGCAGGAUAUCAGGCCAUUGGGUAUUGGAGGGUCACCUUCUCCGUUUGUGGGUGACUGUGUGUUGGGCUUGGUUAAAGAUGGCUGUUGUAUGCCUGGCUAAAACCUCUAUUUGUAAUUUUAAAUCCAUAGAGGUUUUCCAGGAGAAAUAUGGUUACAGGAGAGGACCAUUAAUAAGCCUUCAAUGCCUGAUGUCUAACCUUAACAAUAUCCUAAUUAUGAGGAAUUGCUGGCAAAUGGGAGCUACCUCUCCCCGGAGAUAAGGACGUCCCAACCUGCACCAUGCAAUCCAAUAUAAGAAAAAUGAGGGCAUCCCUUAUUUCUGUAAGUCCAUAGUUAAUCACAUGGAGUGGGAUAUGCUCAAGCGUUUAAGGAGUGAAUUUCUUAUCACAGCCAUGCAGAAUUGGUCAAGAUGACAGUUGAGUCAUGCAGUUGUUGGGGAGUCCUUCCCAUUUUCCAGCUGUUCAAAUAAUGCUGUGUCCCUGGGGUUCUGUUCUUAUCCAAACAGAGUAACAAGCAUGACGAUUCUCUGUACAUGAGUUAUUGUGGCAAUCUCUCUGAAGUUCACGUCAAGUUGUCUAGCAUUGGUAUUCAGAAUUUUAAUAAAAACAGCAAUUCUAACUUUUAAUGAUUUUAAGUCAUGAGAAAGGAAGAUAUGAAACCUUAGUUUGGAGAGCUCUAGCCAGAUAUUUGAGGAAACCAGAAGAAUUCAAAACCUAGUCUGGUUUAUAAGAAAUAGUACCAAAAACCCAGUAUCUACAAAGAUGUUGUUUUGAAAACAUAAUUAUUUUCUCUCUGCAUUCACUCUUAUUUCUAGAGAUAGCCAAAUAAAGACUGAUUUGUUUGUAAAACAGGUCCAGUUUUAACAAAAUGGCCUAGUUAUUUACAAACGCUCAGCAAGAACAGUGAUUGGCCAUAUAAGUUUUUUAAAAAGCUUGCUUUGCUCAAAAUUUUCAUAAGGAAUCUCUAGAUCGAACUUUUUAAAAAAACUUUAUUUAUUUAAAUGUUUAUUUUUGAGACAAAGAGAAACAGAGCAUGAACAAGGGAGCAUCAGAGAGAGAGGGGGAGACUUAGAAUCCGAAGCAGGCUCCAGGCUCUGAGCUGUCAGCACAGACACUGACAUGGGGCUUGAACUCACGGACCGUGAGAUCAUGACCUGAGCCGAAGUUGGAUGCUUAACCGACUGAGCCACCCAGGCGCCCCUCUAGACUGAACUUUUAAUAGCCCCUCGAGGCCAGAAGACAAGCCAAAUAUUUGUCACCAGACUUGUCUGCAAGACCUGUAGAUUUAUGUGAUUUCUUCUUCUCAAGGUCCCCAAACCAUCCUGAGGUUUCUGGCACCUGCCAGGACUUGACUUGACUCACCUGGCCUCUGUGGUCUUUGAGGAUGUGGCUGUGAACUUUACCCCGGAAGAGUGGGCUUUGCUGAAUCCUGGUCAGAGGAAGCUCUACAGAGAUGUGAUGCUGGAGACCUGCAGGAACCUGUCUGCUGUGGGUUGUCGAAGUCAAGGUAACACAAGUACACCAAGGCCUCAGUGGAGCAUUUUGCUGAA